CUCAUCCUGCCUUACCACAAACCCUUGGUCCAGAACUCAUCUUUGGCUAAUCCAGCUGUCUGUCUACAGCCUCAAGUUCACACAAGCUGGAAGCAGAACUGGAAGACAGUGGAGUUGCAAUUGCCCAC